rnacentral:rRNA from 1 species
CGGGUAGGGUCGGGACCGGGGUAGGGUAGGAAUAGUCUGGAACGAGCUCGAUGGAGGGGGAUAACUACUGGAAACGGUAGCUAAUACCGCAUAACGUCGCAAGACCAAAGAGGGGGACCUUCGGGCCUCUUGCCAUCGGAUGUGCCCAGAUGGGAUUAGCUAGUAGGUGGGGUAACGGCUCACCUAGGCGACGAUCCCUAGCUGGUCUGAGAGGAUGACCAGCCACACUGGAACUGAGACACGGUCCAG